UUAAUAAGUACUAAUAAUUAUGUUUAAAAUAAUCUUGUAAAAAAUUGAUCUAAUAAAUAUUUAUUUUAAUUGAAAGUUUUAAGGCAACUGAAUUUCUACGAUUAAAUUAUAUUAUUUUGUGAGUAACAUAAAUUAAAUAAAAAGCGGGUUUAAUAUUCUUAAGAAGAAGGUUAAGUGAGAUUUUUUAAAUGUUAUCCGGAUUUAAAAAAAAUUGAAAUGGGAAAGGAAAAUGUAAAAAAAGAAGUACUUUUAAAAAGUGCACCAAUUAUAGCAAAAAUAGAAUGUGUUGGAUAUCGUUUUUUUGAAUAUUUAAAAAAAACUGGUCGUUAUCAAAGUGACAAUUUAUCCGUUGACGAAAAUGAUUCGGAAGUUGAAUCAAGUGAAACAAAAUUUGAAGAUGAUAUCAAUUACUUGCGUAGUUUAGAUCCAAAAGAAUGGAAAGAUCAAGAUCAUUACGCGGUACUGGGUAUAAAAAGUUUGAGAUAUAAAGCAACUGAUGAUGACAUAAAGAAAGCAUAUCGACAAAAAGUAUUAAAACAUCAUCCGGAUAAAAGAAAGGCUCAAGGUGAAGAUGUACGAACGGAUGAUGAUUAUUACACAUGUAUAACGAAAGCUUAUGAAAUUUUGGGUACACCAAUGAAAAGACGUUCUUAUGAUUCAGUCGAUCCCACUUUUGAUGAUUCAUUACCAACAGCUGCAGAAUUAAAGAAAAACUUUUAUCAAGUGGCUAAUAAAUAUUUUGAAUCGAAUGCUAGAUGGUCUGAGAAAAAAAAAGUACCAAAAUUAGGCGAUGAGAACACAUCACGUGAAGAUGUUGAACGGUUUUAUUCGUUUUGGUAUAAUUUUGAUUCAUGGCGAGAGUUUUCAUAUCUCGAUGAAGAGGAAAAAGAGAAAGGUCAAGAUCGUGAAGAACGUCGUUGGAUUGAAAAACAAAAUAAAGUAGCACGCACAAAACGGAAAAAGGAAGAAAUGAGUCGAAUUCGUUCAUUAGUCGAUAUGGUAUAUAAUGCUGAUCCACGUAUCGAAAAGUUUAAGAAAGAUGAUAAAGAUCGUAAACUAGCAGCGAAACGUGCAAAACAAGAUGCUGUUCAAGCAAAACGCGAAGAAGAAGAGCGUAUUAUACGUGAAGCGCAAUUAGCAAAAGAGAAGGCGGAUGCGGCAGAACGAGCUAGAAUUGAAGCAAAACGACAAGAACGUGAAGCUCAAAAACGUGCAUUGAAAAAAGAACGAAAAAUUUUACGUGAUUUAUGUAAAAGUAAUAAUUAUUUCAGUACUGAUUCAGAAGAUACAAUCACACAUAUGACAAAUGUUGAAAAACUAUGUGAAAAUUUAAAAUUAGUUGAAUUAGAAGAAUUAAAUAAGAAUUUACGUGAUGGUGGCCGUUCUGUAUUCUUACAAAGUGUUCAACAAUUAGAAGAAAAAUCUGAAGCUGAACGAAAAUCUAUUGAAAAACAAUUAAAUCCAACAACCAUUCAACAACAACAACCAACAACCAAUACCAAACAUAGUAAUGGUUUAAAUUGGAAUAAUGACAAUGUUCAACUGUUAAUAAAAGCAGUAAAUGUAUUCCCAGCUGGUACCAAUCAACGAUGGGAAGUUGUUGCGAAUUUUAUAAAUCAACAUGGUAACACAACUGAUGGUAGUUUUACUGCUAAAGAUGUACUAGCAAAAGCAAAAGAUUUACAAAAAACAGAUUUCUCAAAGAAUCAUCUAAAAACUGAUAUUAAUAAACAAGCAUUCAAUAAUUUUGAAAAAAAUAAAAAGAAUGCUCGUGUUAUGGAUGAAGUAUCGAUUUCAGAAAAUCAUGUUACAACAAACGGACAUAAUAUUAUAAAUGAAAGCACCAAUCAAAAUCAAAAUCAAGUAGAAACAAAUAGUAAAACAAAUGAUAAAACUAAUGUAGCAGCAGGAGCAACAGCUAGUGCUGUAGCAUGGACACCUGAAGAACAAUUAUUAUUAGAGCAAGCAUUAAAAACUUAUCCAUCAAAUACAGCAGAACGUUGGGAUAGGAUAGCUGAAUGUAUUCCAAAUAGAACGAAAAAAGAUUGUAUGCGUAGAUAUAAAGAAUUAGUUGAUUUAAUUAAAGCGAAGAAAGCUGCUCAACAAGCUACAAUUAAAUAAAAUUAAUAAAUAAAUAAAUAAAUGUAAUGUAAUGUAAUGUCCCACUCAAGUAUUUGUAUUGUUAUUGUUAUCUGACUCAGGGGAUAAAGAUCGAUGAUGAUAUUAUACGGAGUGUCCAAAAAAAAAUUUAUACACACUUUGUGCAAAAAAAAAAAGU